CAGCCAUACCACCCUAAAUGCGCCUGAUCUCGGAAGUUAAGCAGAGUCAGGCCUGGUUAGUACUUGGAUGGGAGGAUACAUGGUCCCAAUGCUGC
rnacentral:rRNA from 1 species